UACGUAGGUGACAAGCGUUGUCCGGAUUUACUGGGCGUAAAGAGCGCGCAGGCGGUCGAUCAAGUCGAGUGUGAAAGCCCCCGGCUCAACUGGGGAGGGUCAUUCGAUACUGAUCGACUCGAAGGCAGGAGAGGGUAGUGGAAUUCCCGGUGUAGCGGUGAAAUGCGUAGAUAUCGGAAGGAACAUCAGUGGCGAAAGCGGCUUCCUGGACCAGUACCGACGUUCAGGCACGAAAGCGUGGGGAGCAAACAGG
rnacentral:rRNA from 1 species